AUUGAACGCUGGCGGCAUGCUUUACACAUGCAAGUCGAACGGCAGCGCGGGCUUCGGCCUGGCGGCGAGUGGCGAACGGGUGAGUAAUACAUCGGAACGUGCCCAGUAGUGGGGGAUAGCUCGGCGAAAGCCGGAUUAAUACCGCAUACGACCUGAGGGUGAAAGCGGGGGAUCUUCGGACCUCGCGCUAUUGGAGCGGCCGAUGGCAGAUUAGCUAGUUGGUGGGGUAAAGGUCUACCAAGGCGACGAUCUGUAGCUGGUCUGAGAGGACGACCAGCCACACUGGGACUGAGACACGGCCCAGACUCCUACGGGAGGCAGCAGUGGGGAAUUUUGGACAAUGGGCGAAAGCCUGAUUCAGCAAUGCCGCGUGUGUGAUGAAGGCCUUCGGGUUGUAAAGCACUUUUGGCGGGAACGAAAAGGACUGUGCCAAUACCACGGUUCGAUGACGGUACCCGCAGAAUAAGCACCGGCUAACUACGUG
rnacentral:rRNA from 1 species